UACGUAGGGUCCGAGCGUUGUCCGGAAUUACUGGGCGUAAAGAGCUCGUAGGUGGUUUGUCGCGUUGUUCGUGAAAACUCACAGCUCAACUGUGGGCGUGCGGGCGAUACGGGCAGACUUGAGUACUGCAGGGGAGACUGGAAUUCCUGGUGUAGCGGUGGAAUGCGCAGAUAUCAGGAGGAACACCGGUGGCGAAGGCGGGUCUCUGGGCAGUAACUGACGCUGGAGGAGCGAAAGCCGUGGGGAGCGAACAGG
rnacentral:rRNA from 1 species